rnacentral:rRNA from 1 species
AGGAGUGGAGCCUGCGGCUUAAUUUGACUCAACACGGGAAACCUCACCAGGCCCGGACACCGGAAGGAUUGACAGAUUGAGAGCUCUUUCUUGAUUCGGUGGGUGGUGGUGCAUGGCCGUUCUUAGUUGGUGGAGCGAUUUGUCUGGUUAAUUCCGAUAACGAACGAGACUCUAGCCUGCUAACUAGGCGUAUUUUCGACAUCUCAAAUGCCCGCCGGCCCGGCGCGCGUCGCGGUCGCGCGCGGUUUUUACUGUCGGCGUACAAAUUAUUCUUCUUAGAGGGACAGGCGGCUUCUAGCCGCACGAGAUUGAGCAAUAACAGGUCUGUGAUGCCCUUAGAUGUUCUGGGCCG